rnacentral:lncRNA from 1 species
CAUCAGGCCGUGGGGUCGCUCGCAAGGCAGGAAGAGUCAGACCCAGAAUAAAACAGCACACUUCUUCUAUUCUCUCGACAUGGCUCUGACCUCUGACAGCAGCGUUCUUCUUGGAGGUUCCUGGCACGGCGAGUGAAGCCCCCCUCCCCCGCCCCAGCCAGCUCACCCCCAGCACCAUCGUGGAGGAGGUAUCUAAGGGGUGCUAUGCUGAUUCUGGCCAAGGGAAGUCAGAAACCCCAGCACUGGCCCUGGUGGACAGUGGUUUUACGUCUUCUGGACCCUUUGUCGACGAUCUCAACUGCGGGAGGGCAAAACGUGACAUUCAGCCCCCUUCCCAACAGCGCAGCUCCCCAGUUAUCGAGUGUGUGACGCCUCUGUGUGUGAGCGACACGUCGGAGGGGCCCUGUGCUGCAUGGCGGUGAUUUCCAGGGC